rnacentral:tRNA from 1 species
GCGGGGGUUGCCAAGAGGCCAAAGGCGCAGGGCUUAGGACCCUGUCACGAAGGUGUUCCGGGGUUCGACUCCCCGCUCCCGCA